GUACGUUAUGUUCAAAGGAAACCACCCUCCACCACACGCCCAGAAGAGACAAUGACAACUUUAGAACUGAAGGAAUUUCCUUCCUUAUUCCAAGGUUCCAACAUCUUCACCGUUAGUCGUUAAGACAGCAGUGAGAGGGGUGGGGAGCCGAUGGCUGGCCCUAUAGGAAUGGAUGGUUACCCUGACAUUUAAGAACUUUAGAAAGAAAGUUGUUACAAGGGGGCUUUGAGUGCACAGAGAACUUAACAUCUCGACCAGACCAUGAGUUGUGUACUCACCUAAUAUUCUACCUCUAGGGUCAAAACCUGUCUUCCUCCACACGGGUCAGAGGAGGGUCAGGGCCUGCCUGACUCUCCUGGAGUAACGCUGAUGUUAUGUGGUGAAUAUUGUGGUGGUUUGAAUAGAUUUGGGCCCCAUAGACUCCCAUGCUUGAAUGCUUGUCCCAGGGAGUAGCACUAUUAGGAGGUGUGCCUUGUUGGAGUAGGUGUGGCCUUGUUGGAGUAUAUAUGGCCUUCCGGGAGGAUGUGCCUCACUGUGGCGGUGGAAUCCUUCUAUGCCCAGGCUCUGCCCAGUGUGGAUGGUAGUCUUGUUCUGGCUGCCUUAGGAUCAAGAUGUAGAACUCUCAUAUCCUCCAGCAUCAUGCCUACCUGGAUGCUACCAUGCUUCCUGCCAUGAUGAUAAUGGGCUGAACCUCUGAACCUAUAAGCCAGCCCCAACUAAAUGACACCUGGUCAUGGUGUCUCUUCACAGCAAUGAAAACCCUAACGAAGACAGAUAUGAAGUGUACCACAAAGGGCUCAUAGCCGGAGCAGCGGCGCUCUGGGCAGGAAUGAAGAUAUCCUUUGGCUACAGAGAGGACUGCAGAAGUGGUCCCCCAAGAAACUGGAAUUUCCCCAGGAAUCUCAUGCUGGGAGAAAGAAAAGGCUGA
rnacentral:lncRNA from 14 species